rnacentral:lncRNA from 1 species
AAAGAAAAUGGGAAUUUGAAAGAAGAAAAUGGGAACCUGAGAGAGAAAAUUAUACAGUUACUAAGAGAGAAGGACAGCCUCUGGCACUCGAACCAGCGUCUGGAGGAGGUCGCGACGUGGCAGAGGCGGGCGGCGACGGGGGGCGCAGAGUGGCAGAGGGACGCGACGGCCAGCGCCUGCACGGCCUUCACCCUGCUGAGGAGGAGGCACCACUGCCGGCACUGCGGGAGGAUCUUCUGCUCGGGAUGCGUCGAUAACUGGAUCCUGACCGAGGCGGAGAGCCGGCGAGUUCGUGUGUGCGACGAGUGCUUCUCCGUCCAGGCAGAGUUGGCUUCCCUCGUGGCUUCGCUCCCCUCGCGCUGGAGGAGCAGGACGGAGGGAGAGGCAGGUUGGCUGCCUCCGCCUCCUUCGAGUCGUACUUCUUCUUCAUCUCUUUCUGUUGCUCCUCG